GACGAACGCUGGCGGCGUGCUUAACACAUGCAAGUCGAGCGGAAAGGCCACUUCGGUGGUACUCGAGCGGCGAACGGGUGAGUAACACGUGAGUAAUCUGCCCCUCACUUUGGGAUAGCCACCGGAAACGGUGAUUAAUACCGGAUAUGACCAUAUGUCGCAUGGCGUGUGGUGGAAAGUUUUUCGGUGAGGGAUGUGCUCGCGGCCUAUCAGCUUGAUGGUGAGGUAAUGGCUCACCAUGGCUUCGACGGGUAGCCGGCCUGAGAGGGUGACCGGUCAAACUGGAACUGGGACACGGCCCAGACUCCUACGGGGGGAAGCAGUGGGGAAUAUUGGACAAUGGGCGGAAGCCUGAUCCAGCAACGCCGCGUGAGGGAUGACGGCCUUCGGGUUGUAAACCUCUUUCAGUACCGACGAAGCGCAAGUGACGGUAGGUACAGAAGAAGCACCGGCCAACUACGUG
rnacentral:rRNA from 1 species